ACUUUUUAAAGACUAGAAGGUUGCAUCCUUCUAGUUGAAAAACAUUAAAGUUCUUCUAGAUAACCUCUCCUUUUUGGCAUUUCAAUAUCCUUUGGCAGGCAGGCAGGUCUGCAAGUGGCUAUGGAGAAGCCAACAUGGACUCUACAGAUCCUGAGAAAAGCAGAUGGCCCUGCAGAUCUUACCACCCAGUCUUCAUCCUUUGAAGAUUGAGUCAUCGAAGGAAAUUAGCAGUUCCUUAAGAGAGUGGAAGAACUCUCCUACCUCUGGUCAAAUAUAA
rnacentral:lncRNA from 1 species